rnacentral:rRNA from 1 species
UACGUAGGGGGCAAGCGUUGUCCGGAUUUAUUGGGCGUAAAGCGCUCGCAGGUGGUCCGAUGCGUCGUGCGUGAAAGCCCCCGGCUCAACCGGGGAAGUGCAUCUGAAACUGGCGAGCUAGAGUACGAAAGAGGGUCGCGGAAUUCCCGGUGUAGAGGUGAAAUUCGUAGAUAUCGGGAGGAACACCGGUGGCGAAGGCGGCGACCUGGGUAGAUACUGACGCUGAGGUGCGAAAGCGUGGGGAGCAAACAGG